rnacentral:rRNA from 1 species
GUGCCAGCCGCCGCGGUAAUACGGAGGGUGCGAGCGUUAAUCGGAAUUACUGGGCGUAAAGCGCGCGUAGGCGGCCUGAUAAGUUGGAUGUGAAAGCCCUGGGCUCAACCUAGGAACUGCAUUCAAAACUGUCAGGCUAGAGUAUGGUAGAGGAUAGUGGAAUUUCCGGUGUAGCGGUGAAAUGCGCAGAGAUCGGAAGGAACAUCAGUGGCGAAGGCGGCUAUCUGGACCAAUACUGACGCUGAGGUGCGAAAGCGGGGGGAGCAAACAGGAUUAGAUACCCUAGUAGUCC